CAGUCUGGCCAUACCAGUCUGAAAGUGCCUGAUCUCAUCAGAUCUCAGAAGUUAUGCAGACUUGGGACUGAUUAGUACUUGUAUGGGAGACCAACUAGGAACCUCAGGUGCCGUAAGCU
rnacentral:rRNA from 1 species